rnacentral:rRNA from 1 species
AACGAACGCUGGCGGCAGGCUUAACACAUGCAAGUCGAGCGCCCCGCAAGGGGAGCGGCAGACGGGUGAGUAACGCGUGGGGACGUACCUUUUGGUUCGGAACAACUCCGGGAAACUGGAGCUAAUACCGGAUAAGCCCUAACGGGGAAAGAUUUAUCGCCGAAAGAUCGGCCCGCGUCUGAUUAGCUAGUUGGUGAGGUAACGGCUCACCAAGGCGACGAUCAGUAGCUGGUCUGAGAGGAUGAUCAGCCACACUGGGACUGAGACACGGCCCAGACUCCUACGGGAGGCAGCAGUGGGGAAUAUUGGACAAUGGGCGCAAGCCUGAUCCAGCCAUGCCGCGUGAGUGAUGAAGGCCUUAGGGUUGUAAAGCUCUUUUGUCCGGGAAGAUAAUGACUGUACCGGAAGAAUAAGCCCCGGCUAACUUCGUG